rnacentral:rRNA from 1 species
UACGUAGGGAGCAAGCGUUGUUCGGAUUUACUGGGCGUAAAGGGCGCGUAGGCGGCAGAUCAAGUCAGCUGUGAAAUCUCCGAGCUUAACUCGGAACUGUCAGCUGAUACUGUUUUGCUAGAGUGCGGAAGGGGCAAUCGGAAUUCUUGGUGUAGCGGUGAAAUGCGUAGAUAUCGGGAGGAACACCGGUGGCGAAGGCGGCGACCUGGGUCACACCUGACACUGAGACGCGACAGCAUGGGGAGCGAACGGG